rnacentral:rRNA from 1 species
GACGAACGCUGGCGGCGUGCUUAACACAUGCAAGUCGAACGGAAAGGCCCUGCUUUUGUGGGGUGCUCGAGUGGCGAACGGGUGAGUAACACGUGAGUAACCUGCCCUUGACUUUGGGAUAACUUCAGGAAACUGGGGCUAAUACCGGAUAGGAGCUCCUGCUGCAUGGUGGGGGUUGGAAAGUUUCGGCGGUUGGGGAUGGACUCGCGGCUUAUCAGCUUGUUGGUGGGGUAGUGGCUUACCAAGGCUUUGACGGGUAGCCGGCCUGAGAGGGUGACCGGCCACAUUGGGACUGAGAUACGGCCCAGACUCCUACGGGAGGCAGCAGUGGGGAAUAUUGCACAAUGGGCGGAAGCCUGAUGCAGCAACGCCGCGUGCGGGAUGGCGGCCUUCGGGUUGUAAACCGCUUUCGCCUGUGACGAAGCGUGAGUGACGGUAAUGGGUAAAGAAGCACCGGCUAACUACGUGCCAGCAGCCGCGGUGAUACGUAGGGUGCGAGCGUUGUCCGGAUUUAUUGGGCGUAAAGGGCUCGUAGGUGGUUGAUCGCGUCGGAAGUGUAAUCUUGGGGCUUAACCCUGAGCGUGCUUUCGAUACGGGUUGACUUGAGGAAGGUAGGGGAGAAUGGAAUUCCUGGUGGAGCGGUGGAAUGCGCAGAUAUCAGGAGGAACCCCCGUGGCGAAGGGGGUUCUCUGGGCCUUUCCUGACGCUGAGGAGCGAAAGCGUGGGGAGCGAACAGGCUUAGAUACCCUGGUAGUCCACGCUGUAAACGGUGGGUACUAGGUGUGGGGUCCAUUCCACGGGUUCCGUGCCGUAGCUAACGCUUUAAGUACCCCGCCUGGGGAGUACGGCCGCAAGGCUAAAACUCAAAGGAAUUGACGGGGCCCCGCACAAGCGGCGGAGCAUGCGGAUUAAUUCGAUGCAACGCGUAGAACCUUACCUGGGUUUGACAUGGAUCGGGAGCGCUCAGAGAUGGGUGUGCCUCUUUUGGGGUCGGUUCACAGGUGGUGCAUGGCUGUCGUCAGCUCGUGUCGUGAGAUGUUGGGUUAAGUCCCGCAACGAGCGCAACCCUUGUUCACUGUUGCCAGCACGUUAUGGUGGGGACUCAGUGGAGACCGCCGGGGUCAACUCGGAGGAAGGUGGGGAUGACGUCAAGUCAUCAUGCCCCUUAUGUCCAGGGCUUCACGCAUGCUACAAUGGCUGGUACAGAGAGUGGCGAGCCUGUGAGGGUGAGCGAAUCUCGGAAAGCCGGUCUCAGUUCGGAUUGGGGUCUGCAACUCGACCUCAUGAAGUCGGAGUCGCUAGUAAUCGCAGAUCAGCAACGCUGCGGUGAAUACGUUCCCGGG